GACUCUGUGGCUUAGUUGGCUAAAGCACCUGUGUUGUAAACAAGAGAUCCUGGGUUCAAGUCCCAGUAGGGCUU
rnacentral:tRNA from 1 species